GAUGAACGCUGGCGGCGUGCCUAACACAUGCAAGUCGAGCGAGAUGUUGUAACAUGAAGCUUCGGUAGAUUGUUACGACGGAAAGCGGCGGACGGGUGAGUAACGCGUAGGUAACCUGCCCUAUACAGAGGGAUAGCCACUGGAAACGGUGAUUAAUACCUCAUAAGACUGAAGAUACUCAUGUAUCAGCGGCCAAAGAUUUUAUCGGUAUAGGAUGGACCUGCGUCUGAUUAGCUAGUUGGUGAGGUAACGGCUCACCAAGGCGACGAUCAGUAGCCGACCUGAGAGGGUGAUCGGCCACAUUGGAACUGAGACACGGUCCAAACUCCUACGGGAGGCAGCAGUGGGGAAUAUUGCACAAUGGGCGCAAGCCUGAUGCAGCAACGCCGCGUGAUUGAUGAAGGCCUUUGGGUUGUAAAAAUCUGUUCUGAGGGAAGAAAAAUGACGGUACCUCAGGAGAAAGCCCCGGCUAACUACGUGCCAGCCGCCGCGGUAACAC
rnacentral:rRNA from 1 species